AAUAGACCCGAAGCGGUAUGAGCUAGACAUGGGCAGGUUGAAGGCAUAGGAAACUAUGCUGGAGGACCGAACGGGUUGGUGCUGCAAAACCUUCCGAUGACCUGUGUUUAGGAGUGAAAAGCUCAUCGAAUACCGUGAUAGCUGGUUCUCUCCGAAAUGCAUUUAGGUGCAGCCUGCAUUUCAAGAUCUUGAAGAGGUAGAGCUCUGGAAAGGCUAGGGGUGUCGAGAGACAUUACCAAACCUUACUAAACUUCGAAUGCUUCAAGGAAUAUUGCAGAGUGGGACUACGGGAGCAAGUUUCGUAGUCAAAAGGAUAACAGUCCAGACUUCUGAUUAAGGUCCCUAAAGUAAUGCUAAGUGGAAAAAGAGGUGUCUUUGUUUAUACAUCCAGGAGGUUUGCCUAGAAGCAGCAAUCCUUUAAAGAAAGCGUAACAGCUCACUGGACUAACGAAGAUGCGCUGAAGAUGUAACGGGGCUAAGCAUUAUACCGAAAUCGAAGACCAUCGGUAGUAAUACCAUGGUGGUAGGAGAGUGUUCUUACAGGAUGAAGCUACAUCGUGAGGUGUGGUCGACUAGUAAGAAGUAAAAAUGCUGACAUGAGUAACGCUUAUUGAUGAAAAUUCAAUAUAUCGAAACCCUAAGGAUUCCUACGCAACGUUCAUCGUCGUAGGGUUAGUCGGGACCUAAGGCGCAUCCUGAAAAGGAUGGUCGAUGGAUAACUGGUUAAUAUUCCAGUACUUAUUUAUAGAGUGAUGGGGUGACGCAUCGAGAUUUGUAAGAGCUUAUUAAGGAUUUGAGUCGAAAGAGUGAGGUUUUUAUGACGUUAGUCGUAAAGGUAGUUGCAGGAAAAUCCACAACUAUUGAUACUGAGCUUGAUCGGAAUUUAAUUCUUAGGAAUUAGAAAUUCUCAUCGUUUUGGUGCCGAGAAAAACUUCUAAACUUAAUCUUUAUAUAACCCGUACUCAGAUCAGACACUUGUGGGGUGGUAGAGAAUACUAAGAUAAUCGAGAUAAUUAAUGGGUAAGGAACUUGGCAAAUUAGCGGACGUACUUUCGAAAUAAGUCCUGUCCCGAGCAAUCGGGAUCGCAGCGAAAGAGAUGGGGGGAACUGUUUAUCAAAAACACAGCUCGCUGCUAACUCGUAAGAGGAUGUAUAGCGGGUGAUGCCUGUCCAAUGCCAGAAUGUUAUGCUCUCUUGUGCAAGCUCGAGGGUUAAGCACUGGUGAAUGACGGCCGUAACUAUGACGGUCCUAAGGUAGCGAAAUUCCUUGUCAGGUAAGUUCUGACGCGCAUGAAUGGCAUAAUCAUCCCCAUGCUGUCUUACCCUUAAACUCGGUGAAAUUACAUUCCCGGUAAAAAUGCCGGGUAGUCACAGUUAGACGGAAAGACCCUGUGAAGCUUUACUGUAGAUUGAUAUUGGACUGUAGCAUGUUUUGCUCAGUAUAGGUGGGAGGCUUUGAUGUUUCGACUUCGGUUGGGGCGGAGCCAAAAGUGAGAUACCACCCAAAAUAUGUAGCAGUUCUAAUCCCUGUGUUGGGAGACAGUUUCAGUUGGACAGUUUACCUGGGGCGGGUGCCUCCUAAAAAGUAGCGGAGGCGUGCAAAGGUUUGCUUACUACGGAUGGAAACCGUGGUGAAUGUGUAUUCGCAUAAGCAAGCUUGACUGUGAGACUGACAGGUCGAGCAGAUACGAAAGUAGGCGAAAGUGAUCCGGAUCUUCCAAGUGGAAGGGGAUCCGCUCAACGGAUAAAAGUUACUCCGGGGAUAACAGGCUAAUGGAAUCUAAGCGUUCAUAGCGACGAUUCCGUUUGGCACCUCGAUGUCGACUCGUCGCAUCCUGGGGCUGUAGAAGGUCCCAAGGGUUGGGUUGUUCACCCAUUAAAGCGGGACGCGAGUUGGGUUCAGAACGUCGUGAGACAGUUCGGUCCCUAUCUACUGUGACCGUAGGAUAUUUGAGAGAUGCUGACCCUAGUACGAGAGGACCGGGUUGGACGAGCCUCUGAUAGUACCAGUUGUUCCACCAGGAGCACGGCUGGAUAGUUAAGCUCGGAAAAGGUAACCGCUGAAAGCAUCUAAGUGGGAAACUUGUCUCAAGAUUAGAUAUCCCUCU
rnacentral:rRNA from 1 species